GCCGUGGUAGCCUAGUGGUCAUGGUCGUUAAUUUGCGGCAUUAAAUCUGGUCGAGGCUCCGAGUCCUCCUCUUGGCA